AGUAAUUGUCAUUGUGGUAGCUAGUAGUAGUAGGAGCAGGAGUAGUAAUAGUAGGAGUAGUAACUGUCAUUGUGGUAGCUAGUAGUAGUAGGAGCAGUAGGAGGAGUAGUAAUAGCAGGAGUAGUAAUUGUCAUUGUGGUAGCUAGUAGUAGUAGGAGCAGGAGUAGUAAUAGUAGGAGUAGUAACUGUCAUUGUGGUAGCUAGUAGUAGUAUUAGUAGGAGUAGGAGUAGUAAUAGUAGGAGUAGUAACUGUCAUUGUGGUAGCUAGUAGUAGGAGGAGUAGGAGUAGGAGUAGUAACUGUCAUUGUAGUAGCUAGUAGUAGUAGUAGCAGUAGGAGGAGUAGUAAUAGCAGGAGUAGUAAUUGUCAUUGUAGUAGUUAGUAGUAGUAGUAGCAGUAGGAGGAGUAGUAAUAGUAGGAGUAGUAACUGUCAUUGUAGUAGCUAGUAGUAGUAGUAGCAGUAGGAGGAGUAGUAAUAGUAGGAGUAGUAAUUGUCAUUGUAGUUAGUAGGAGUAGGAGUAGGAGUAGUAAUAGUAGGAGUAGUAACUGUCAUUGUGGUAGCUAGUAGUAGUAGUAGCAGUAGGAGGAGUAGUAAUAGUAGGAGUAGUAAUUGUCAUUGUAGUUAGUAGUAGGAGGAGCAGGAGUAGUAAUAGUAGGAGUAGUAACUGUCAUUGUGGUAGCUAGUAGUAGUAGGAGCAGGAGUAGUAAUAGUAGGAGUAGUAAUUGUCAUUGUAGUUACUAGUAGUAGUAGGAGCAGGAGUAGUAAUAGUAGGAGUAGUAAUUGUCAUUGUAGUAGUUAGUAGUAGUAGUAGCAGUAGGAGGAGUAGUAAUAGUAGGAGUAGUAACUGUCAUUGUGGUAGCUAGUAGUAGUAGUAGCAGUAGGAGGAGUAGUAAUAGUAGGAGUAGUAAUUGUCAUUGUAGUUAGUAGUAGGAGGAGCAGGAGUAGUAAUAGUAGGAGUAGUAACUGUCAUUGUGGUAGCUAGUAGUAGUAGUAGCAGUAGGAGGAGUAGUAAUAGUAGGAGUAGUAAUUGUCAUUGUAGUUAUUAGUAGUAGUAGUAGCAGUAGGAGGAGUAGUAAUAGUAGGAGUAGUAACUGUCAUUGUAGUAGCUAGUAGUAGUAGUAGCAGUAGGAGGAGUAGUAAUAGUAGGAGUAGUAAUUGUCAUUGUAGUUAGUAGGAGUAGGAGUAGGAGUAGUAAUAGUAGGAGUAGUAACUGUCAUUGUAGUAGCUAGUAGUAGUAGUAGCAGUAGGAGGAGUAGUAAUAGCAGGAGUAGUAAUUGUCAUUGUAGUAGUUAGUAGGAGUAGGAGUAGGAGUAGUAAUAGUAGGAGUAGUAAUUGUCAUUGCAGGAGCAAUAGUCACAAUAGUGGCACGAGUUGUAGGACUUCCAAUCAUUAUAGGAACAGUCGUAGCAGCCGUAGUUAU
rnacentral:lncRNA from 1 species